CACGGAGUUAGCCGGGGCUUCUUCUGCUGGUACCGUCAUUAUCUUCCCAGCUGAAAGAGCUUUACAGCCCUAAGGCCUUCAUCACUCACGCGGCAUGGCUAGAUCAGGGUUGCCCCCAUUGUCUAAGAUUCCCCACUGCUGCCUCCCGUAGGAGUCUGGGCCGUGUCUCAGUCCCAGUGUGGCUGAUCAUCCUCUCAAACCAGCUAUGGAUCGUCGGCUUGGUAGGCCAUUACCCCACCAACUACCUAAUCCAACGCGGGCCGAUCCUUCGCCGAUAAAUCUUUCCCCAAAAGGGCGUAUACGGUAUUACCCCCAGUUUCCCAGGACUAUUCCGUAGCAAAGGGCACGUUCCCACGCGUUACUCACCCGUCCGCCGCUAGACCCGAAGAUCUCGCUCGACUUGCAUGUGUUAAGCCUGCCGCCAGCGUUCGUUCUGAGCCAGGAUCAAAACUCU
rnacentral:rRNA from 1 species